AACCAGAUCGACACUGGAUGCGUACUCAUAUAAUAGACCCAUUACAUCCUAUUCACUGAUCCCUAGGUUGUUAAUCUAGAAAGAACAAUUUUGACCUUAAUUUGUAUCUGAUGGUAUUUGCAUCCUUUAGAAAAAUAAAAUUAUAUCUUCAAUCCAAACAUCUUUCAAUCUGAAAAAACCACAUAUUCUAUUUACACCUUUCAUCCAAUUACUUGCCUAAAUUUGAAUGAAAGUAACGGAAAAAAUUCUGUCUACAUUCACAAAACACAAUAACAAUACGACUAAAAAAAAUUCUUAGAAUUUGUUUUUAGCUAAUCAUAUUAAUAAAAUAUGUAAAAAAUAUAUAAAAAAGAAAAUUUUUGUUUAACCAUAUACCCAUAUCUCUGUCCUUGUAUGCAUUUAAAAAAAAGUAGUUUCAAAGAAAGGCUGAAAACCCAUGCUAAUAGGCCCGCCAACCUAGCAGUGAUGACCCAAUGGGCUCUAUUCUAUUAAUCAAAACCACAGUCGAAAGUCGGUAAAGGUGUAGUCUUAGUGGAUUUAGGCCUACACUUUCACUCCUACAGACUGUACCUGUAAGCGCAAGUUCGACUUCGCCGAGUACAGACCAUGCCACCUUCUCUGAAAGUCGACUAUUUUCCCAGAAGUGAAGGGACAGAUAUGGGGCGUACAAGCAAAGAUCUUCUGCAUUUCGAGCACAAGAAGCCCUCCACCUCACCAUUGGGUCUCUAUCUUUCUCUCCAGUGAUUUGUGAGGUCAGCAUGACAUGUAUGUAUCUGGUUUCGAAUUCCUCAUCUAAGUCCGUGGGUGUCGGUAUUUUGUGCAGAGUCCAUACUUCUUGUUCGCAAAAAGGACUCAGUCGCUCAUCCCCAGAAACCCCUCCCUGAUGGAAAGCUCCCCAAAAGCCAAUCUUUGAGCUUUAAAAUGCCUUUUGAACUUUAAGUAUGCUUCGUUUUUGUUGUUUAGGGUCAUGAAUCUGCCUGCAAGAAAUGAACCUAUGCCGUAGGUUUACAUUAAUAAUCUUUAAUUGUGAGUUCCAAAUUUUGCAUACAAAUGCUAUGGCUUAUGUUCUCUAAUCGUGCCAUUGUUUGUGCAAUUCCAAUUUUAGAUUAAACGACUCGUGUUGGCCUACUUCUAGAAUGAGCCGGAUUGUAUUACCGUAGUGUUUUUCAUUAGAAGUAAUUUAGUGUCUUUGCUCUUCUGUACACACUGAAUUAAAGCUUUUCCAAGUAUAGGAGUUUGUCCCAACUUGCAUGAUUAAGGUGGCUCUAGAAUGAAAAAAGGUUCUCAAAUGUAGACUUCGGUUUUUUUUUUUUUUUUUUGAUAGGUAGACUUUGGUUUUCAAGUACGCAAAGUCGAGAAUAUAUUUUUUUUUUUUCUUUUUUCUAAAGAACUUGCUAGACAAAGUAUCUUUCUGAACAUCUAAAAGGCUAUUUUUCUGGGAGUAGCUCACUCAAGAAUUUGCUGGGGAAAAGAACUCAAUCCAAGCUUAAAUCAAAAUUCCUAGAACUUGUAUUUUUCCUUCAGCUGCAACUGCAAGUCCUACAAAAUGAAAGAACCUUUCUUCAUCAUACUGAAGGAUGAACGUCUGUGAUAAGAUUGUGUAUACUUGUUAUGAAAAUUCCUUAAUGCAAAGUUGGGUUUUGAGAGGUCUUGAUAAGAUCAUGUGUACUUUGUUAAAGCAUGGUCCUCAUCUCUCUAAUAUAAGAUGCUAAUUACAUGGAGAUGGAUUUUCCUUUGGCCAUGGCAGAGCUAAGUUUCAAGCCGUGGAUAUAUCUUUCCCAUAGAUCUUUUGCUUGGAUGCAGAUGGUAACAUGCUGUAUUUCUUGUUACAGUACAUUCUAGCAUAAUAAUAAGUACUCUUUUAUUAGAAGAAAUUUGGUAUAAUACGAGGAAAAUGUUUUUUUAUUCAUUUAUUCACCAAUUUGAAGAACUUGAUAAUCUUACUUUCUCAUUUGAACUCUCCAAAACAUCUCCUCAAUUGCCUGUAGUAAUAUAUAUUGCAAAAGAAAUUGAGACCACUCUCUAACAAUUGGCCGUACUUAAUUUCUUUUCUCUGCUGCAUUUUUGGGAAAAAUUAAAGACUUCUCAGGAGUGAUAUAUAUCAGAAGCUAAUCAUGAGAGGCUUCAGCUCGGUGCAAAGGUUGUGUUUUGAUCUCUACCCGAGCUGUAUUGUUGAAUUGGUUUCCGAUGAUUCGGGGACAGAACUUGAUGCUUGGUGUUGCCAAUCUGCAUACGCCCGAUCGAUCAGGCUGUUACUGCUGCUGAAUCCGCAAUUUCUGGUUCUCAGACUGAUUCCGUUGGUGGCUGCCAAUAGUAGCUGAACAGAUUCGGAGGGUAGCAGUGAUAAUGCUAGUGAUAAAGAUGAUGUUGAUAACAAUAUUAGUGGCGAUGAUGGUAACAAUUAAAAGAUGCCCUCCAGGGAAUCUCGAAAGUAUCAAAUUCUGAUCGAAGGCAAAAGAGGGGGGGAUGAGUUAUGAUUGUGAUCAAAGUGUUUCGCUGCGUACGUACAGCUUGAUUCACCCUUAGUAAAGUCUUGUACGUAUAUGUCAUGCUUACACGCAGCGUGCUGAAUUGCGCCAAAUUAAACCGCUUGAAUGGAGUACUAGUGGUCAACAUAUGAAUUUGUGAAGUAAUAUUUAACAGUUGCGCUAAUUCCCAACUGCGUACGUAGUCUAUCUGUAGAUGCCUUAUUUUUUAUGUAUCGCUGCUUGGAUUUAUAGAUGA